UGGGGAAUUUUGGACAAUGGGGGCAACCCUGAUCCAGCAAUGCCGCGUGUGUGAAGAAGGCCUUCGGGUUGUAAAGCACUUUUGUCCGGAAAGAAAUCCGCCGGGAUAAUACCCUGGCGGGAUGACGGUACCGGAAGAGUAAGCACCGGCUAACUACGUGCCAGCAGCCGCGGUAAUACGUAGGGUGCAAGCGUUAAUCGGAAUUACUGGGCGUAAAGCGUGCGCAGGCGGUUGUGCAAGACAGAUGUGAAAUCCCCGGGCUUAACCUGGGAAUGGCAUUUGUGACUGCACGGCUAGAGUGUGUCAGAGGGGGGUAGAAUUCCACGUGUAGCAGUGAAAUGCGUAGAUAUGUGGAGGAAUACCGAUGGCGAAGGCAGCCCCCUGGGAUAACACUGACGCUCAUGCACGAAAGCGUGGGGAGCAAACAGGAUUAGAUACCCUGGUAGUCCACGCCCUAAACGAUGUCAACUAGUUGUCGGGGAUUAAUUUCCUUGGUAACGCAGCUAACGCGUGAAGUUGACCGCCUGGGGAGUACGGUCGCAAGAUUAA
rnacentral:rRNA from 1 species